CUCGCGAAUUCCAAUUAUUUGAAAUUUGAACAAAAAAAUACAGACCACAGUCGUGCAGAGUUCGAAUAGUUCUAUUCAUACAUAUUUUUACAUAAUCGCCAUGCAUAAGUGUAUUGUUUUUAGUAAAACAUCCGAAGUAUCGCCUAGCCUAACUAUGUUAGUUUUAAUUUAUCAGUCAGUCAGGAGAGUCGUCACGGGAGAGAGUAUUCAGGAAAAUUGUGUUUCAAAUGAAGGUGUCAGACGUGCUGCGCUGUGCUGCUGCGGUGGUAGACGACGAUGUUGUCUCCAGAACGGAACAAUGUCGGCGAGGUUAGAGCGUGACGUUGCUACUCGUUGUCGGUCGUUAGCAGACAAAUAAUUGCACAAAUUCUCGAGACGUGCAUGACGGCCAUAUUAACAAAAAAUGGAAAAUCAGUGGAUUAUACUUAUAUUUUCAAAACUGAAAUAUAUGAUGUACCACAUACAAGGAACUAGGAAGUCGAUCAAAUAUCCUGACAAUUUUUCAGACAUUGACUUUUAUGAAGAUAAUUCUACCGACUUAGAUGAAGCCAUACAAUAUUGGAGCAAAUUAUGAAACUUAAGGGCAAUACAAUUUUUCUGAGCAAGAACCCAAUUUCAAUAACACAGAUGAGGGCCUCAACAUAUCUAAAUUGCAAAGAAACACGUAACUAGUUUGGACUUCAGUAUCUUUUCUGAAAUAAAAGUAUAUAUAUAGUUGGAUGACAGGUAAAAAUUGAAAAUUCAUAGGUGUUUUCAAAUACAUUGGGUAUAAAUCAGUUCUUUUAGCAUUUUGUAUACACCAUACAAUUUUUAAAUCAAUUUUAUUCUUUUGAGCUAACUAUAGGGGAUAAGACAUUUUAAUGGAAUCACAUUAAAAAUAUAAGUCUUCUUUGUUUACUGUCAUUUUAACAAAUCCCAUACCUUAUUGAUAAUAAUGUUGAUAAUAUACAGUUAUCAACUGCAUUUAUUUUUAGAAACAAAAAAUUUUUUUAGAACUCAUCACUAUUGAUCUGAUUGUUAUGACAAUUAAACUGUAGUUUGGGACAUUGCGAGUAUGUGGUAACUUGCUACAAAAUAAAGUUCUAUUGAAGUGUAAAAUCAUGUUAACAUUAUGAACAUCUAAACUUUCAUAUAGAUACAAACUAAUAAGUUGUACAACCUAAUUAUUGGUACAGGUUAAUAUGAAUUGUUUAUUUUACAUAUAAUAUCACAUUUAUUUAUAACUUAUAUCUUUCAGGUCCAUAGUUUAUGUGUAGUUGUUUAGCAGAUGUCUUACACUUAACAAUUGUUUUCAUGCAAUGGUGAUUACUAGAUUUCAACGUUAAUAGUAAAAGUAAAUCUUAAUUAAAAAAUACUCUGCUCAAAAAUUUAAAUAUUUACUUUCCAAAUACCUACUAUUAACAUUGUCUUUCAUAUUUUAUCAUCAUAAUGUUUUUAGAGUUUACACACAUAUUUUGCAUAUUUUGCAAGACUAAGUGAAUACCAAUUACCUUCAAUUGCACUCUAAAUCAUGUUUGUGAAUAAAAUUAUUUGCCAACGACUUAUUUAUAAUUAUAAAAAAACUUUAUUUUUAAAUUUUAUAAUAAGAGAAAAAAGUAUUUAAAAUCUUUAUUAAUUAUACUAUCAUAAUUUUCAUACUUUUCAUAUUUAUAGUUUAAUUGUAAUUUAAAUUAUUUUAGAAUUCCUCACUGGUGAUCUGAUUGUUGUGCAUAGGCGUUCCCCAGAUUUUACUUCAGAUGCAGCAUAGAUGGCUAAUUUCUAGAGAAGUAAAAUACAUUUUAGUAAUUCACAGACACAUUGGUACUACUCUGAGCACGACUAAUAAAUUAUAUCCAAGAGAAAAUUGUGUUUCUCCAACGAUGAGUUAGAAGAAAAUGAACGGACAAAUAAAGAAUUUGCUAUCGCCAACCGCAGGAAGGGGACCGUAGAUAUAUACUCCCUGUAUUGUGGUGAUAACCUAACUUAACCAUAACAACAUAAUAUUAUUUUAUUAUUCACCGACUUUUGAAUCAUUCGAUUAGAUAUUUAAAAUUUGAACAGAAAAACAGACUACAUUCGUAUAGAGUUGUAAUCAUAUGUUUUAGAAUAAUAUCAUCAUUCAUAAGUGUAUUCUUUUUAGUAAAACAUCCAAUAUAUCGCUUUGCCACAUUACCUUCAUUUUCAUUUUCAUUUUUAGUUGUACUGUUUAUAUUUCUUAAUAAUAUAGGAUCAGUCUAAUAUGCUAAUUUGUUCACAAAUAUAGAUUUCCAAAAAACGAAAAUAGAAGGAAAUAAUGGCGGUAAUCAUUUCUACAGCAACACUGGUAGUACUGCUCUGAGCACGACUAGUAAAUCUUAUCUAAGAAAAUAUUGUGUUUUUCCGACGAUGAGUUAGAAGAAAAUGAACAGACGAAUAAAGGAUAUGGAGACCUUACAGUUGAUGAUUUUAAUUCACCCAGAAAAGCCUUAGAUACUUAAUAAUGUCUAAUUCACACACACUUAUAAUGGUUGGCAUGAGCUGUGAAAAGAUACAUUAUAUUGAAGAUGUAGCUGAUAGGCUGUUAAUAAAUUUGGGGUGUCCUACAUACGCAUACAUACAAAGUUUACUGGUCGUCAAACCCGUUUCUAUUCAUGGAAUUUACUUCUCAACAAGAAAAGACAAACUUCUUUGAAAGAAAGCUAAGCAAACACCAAUUACCUUCAAUUGCACUCUGAAUCAUCUUUUUGAAUAAAACUAUAUGUCUCAGACUUAUUUAUAAUUAUAAGAAAACUUUAUUUUUAAAUUUUCUCGUUAGAGAAAAAUGUAUUUAAAAUCUUUAUUAGGUUUACUAUCAUAGUUUUCAUACUUGUCGUAUUUAUAGCGUAAUUGCAAUUUAAAAUUUAGAGAUAUAUGACUAAUGUGCUAUAAUUUAUUGUUAUACUUGUAGUAGUUUUUUGUACAUACUAAUUAAGAAAUUUUAAGUGAGUAAGAAGAAAUAAAUUUGAAUAUAAUACAAGAUAUGACUGUAGGCAUAUAAAACAAUGAGAACAUUUUGUUUUUAUAUCUAUGGAUAUCAAAAAACUUUAAAAGUAAUCUUAUGAUCAAUAUGUUGCUUUAAACUUUUUAACUUAUGUUUUAAUGUUUUUAUUUAGAUUUUAUUAUGAUUAGAGCGCGGAUUUUUAUAUGUUUGCAUAUUUGUUCUGGGUGAUAGUAUGAUAUGCUGAGUGAGCACAGAAUUUGUUUCAUGACCAUAACGAUUGGAACUGUGAACUUUUGGGCUGCAUAUUUCGACAACUAACUCAUUUGUUUGUAUUGUAAAUCAAUUUUGUAUUGCUUUUAUGCAAUUGUUUCAGUUGUGGAAUUUUAAUUUUGAAUAUGUUUAUUGUUGACUUGUUUCAAACUAUUUACAGAUAUACUCAGUUUCCAACUUUUCUCCGCUCAGAAUUGUUUUUCUUAUACAAUGAUAUUAUAUCAUUGAAUUCAAAUUUAACACCAUUCGCUAUAUUGACUGACUUUUAAUCUACUGUACAGCAGAGCGACAGCCACUUGCCCACCUUUUAAUUUAAUAUUAUAUUUUUCCUACAGGGUUGGCACUUGCCCCUAAAUAUUAUGUCAUAUUGUUGUAACCACAAUGUUUGCCUAUGUUAAUCUUCGCGAACGCUGAGUGAUAUUAAUUAUGCCACGAGAAAAACCAUCAACAAAUUACGAAAGACCGCUAAAAAUGGAAUUUUAAUUUCUUGCGUUUUGUUUAUCACCGUAGAAACAAAUAUAAUAUAAAUAAAAAUAAAUAUUAAUUAACUAACAGGCUAUAAUAAAUAAUAACAAUAUGAAAUAUCCAGACUGACAAACCGUCACCGCUCAGAAUCGUUUUUCUUAUACAAUGAUAUUUUAUCAUUGAAUUCCAGUUAAAUACAAUCCAUUAUACAUUGACCCACUUUUAACCUACUGCACAGCAGAGCGACAUCCGCUUACCCACUUUUUAGUUUUUAUUUUCAUAUAAGUAAAAUAAAAUUAGUUAAAAUAUGCUAUGGAAUGAAUAUCAAGUUCAAAAGCAAUUGACAGGAAAAUAAAAUAUAAUAUAAUUUUAUUGGUAUUGUAAUUUGUAAUAAUUGAUUUUAUACUAGUCAAAUUGGUUUAGUAAAAUUAUAUACUCUACAGCAGGGCUAAAAUUGUGUGUAGUACGACCAGUGUUUGGGACUUCAGGACUUUGGGAGUAAUGCGCUAGUAAUAUUGUAGCUAAUUGUUUUAAAACUGAUUAGAUUGAUUCUUUUAAAUGAAUACCAUCUUAAGUGUUUGGAAGUUCUGACACCAUUAUUAGAAAAU